rnacentral:rRNA from 1 species
AGUUUGAUCCUGGCUUAGGAUGAACGCUAGCUACAGGCUUAACACAUGCAAGUCGAGGGGCAGCAUUGGGAUAGCUGCUAUUCAGAUGGCGACCGGCGCACGGGUGAGUAACGCGUAUCCAACCUUCCUGCCAGUAGGGAACAGCCCGGCGAAAGUCGGAUUAAUGCCCUAUGUUCUUCAAUGCGGACAUCUAAGUUGAAGGAAAGAUUCAUCGCUGGCAGAUGGGGAUGCGUCCGAUUAGCUUGCCGGCGGGGUAACGGCCCACCGGGGCGACGAUCGGUAGGGGUUCUGAGAGGAAGGUCCCCCACACUGGUACUGAGACACGGACCAGACUCCUACGGGAGGCAGCAGUGAGGAAUAUUGGUCAAUGGGCGUAAGCCUGAACCAGCCAAGUAGCGUGCAAGGAUGACGGCCCUACGGGUUGUAAACUGCUUUUAUGCGGGGAUAAAGUGCGGCACGUGUGCCGCUUUGCAGGUACCGCAUGAAUAAGGACCGGCUAAUUCCGUGCCAGCCGCUGC